rnacentral:rRNA from 1 species
UGAGGAAUAUUGGUCAAUGGGUGCAAGCCUGAACCAGCCAUCCCGCGUGAAGGACGACUGCCCUAUGGGUUGUAAACUUCUUUUGUAUAGGGAUAAACCUACCCUCAUGAGGGUAGCUGAAGGUACUAUACGAAUAAGCACCGGCUAACUCCGUGCCAGCAGCCGCGGUAAUACGGAGGGUGCAAGCGUUAUCCGGAUUUAUUGGGUUUAAAGAGUCCGUAGGCGGACUUAUAAGUCAGUGGUGAAAGCCUGUCGCUUAACGAUAGAACUGCCAUUGAUACUGUAAGUCUUGAGUAUAUUUGAGGUAGCUGGAAUAAGUAGUGUAGCGGUGAAAUGCAUAGAUAUUACUUAGAACACCCAUUGCGAAGGCAGGUUACCAAGAUAUAACUGACGCUGAGGGACGAAAGCGUGGGGAGCGAACA